AAAUCCCCAACCUCUUAGAACCAAAAUCCCUAAUUUCUACCAAAAUGAAAAAACCCUAAUCGUCUCCUCACUCUCCCAGUCUCAUCUCAAGUUCAACUCAUCACUGUCUCUCUCUCUCACUCUCUCGUUUCGUUGUUCUUCAUAUCUGCACCGAUCACUCUCUGACUCUCUCGUUGUUCAUCUCAUCGCACCGAUCAUCGCACCGCCGAUCUACUCACAGGUACGAUCGUUUCCUAGGUUUUCCAACAGUAUAUCAGCGUUCGCGAAUUAGGUUUAUAAUAAGUUCUUAUAAUUUGUAUUUUUUGUUUAUUGAAAGACUCUUCGCUCUUUGGAUUUGAAUCCGAUAAACUAUUUGCUAGAUUUUUUUAUAUUUUUUUAUUUUUUAAAAUUUUUUAAUGUGUUGUAACCUUGUUUGUCUGAAACUGUUGUCUUCUCAUAGUUUUCUUUCUGUCUCUCUCAAGAAUUCUUGUUUUGUUUAAUGUGUUAUAACCAAUUUUUUUGUGUUGUUUUGUUUUUUUUCUUUUGGUUUUUUGGUAGCCUGGAUUUUUUUUUUUUUUGUAUGGGUUAUUGUUUACUGUGAUGUAAAUUUUUCCAUUACCAAUGAAUAAAUGUCAAUACAAACUACAAAGGAAGAGAGCAUUGUUUGCAAUUUCAAAGGAGUUAAUUGUGAGAGUGUUGUGCCCCUCUGACAUGAUUGGCCGCAUUAUUGGCAAGGGAGGGGGUUCAAUCAAAAGUGUGAGACAGGCCAGUGGUGCUCGUAUUGAGGUUGAUGAUAAGGCUGAUCGUGAUGAAUGUAUCAUCUCCAUCACCUUAACAGAGUCCAUGGAUGACAUGAAAUCCAUAGCAGUUGAAAUGGUUUUAUUGCUACAAGGGAAGAUAAAUGACGAAGAUGAUGACACUGUAACUAUCCGGCUUCUUGUUCCAUCUAAAGUUAUUGGUUGUAUAAUUGGAAAAAGUGGUUCAAUCAUAAAUGAGAUGGCUUAGGCAUGCUUUCUUCAGGCAGCCUUUAUGGAUAUGGAUCUUUAUCAAUGGGUGACAAUGGCUAUGGAUCUUUGUCUUCAUACUCAUCAAAGAUGUAUGGAGGGUUAGUAUUAUUAUGGCCAUGAGUUUUUUACUAUAUUGAAAGACUCUUCAAUAACUCUCAUUUUGGGUGAAAUUAAAGGUGGCUGCAGAAAAGAAGGUGGGUGCAGCAAAGGCAGAACAAUUUUGCAAGGCUUUUCGAAGCAUUCACAAGAAACUUGUGUAUGAAGAAAUGAGUUUAGAUGCUGCCAAGAGUUUUUUGAGCUCACCUAAAAGUUAUGGAGAAUAGUUUCUUGCCUCCUGAAUUUUCUUGUUAUUCUGUUUCUGGUGGAUGUUUUACUUGGAGAGAGAGAGAGAGAGAGA